UAUACCUACGGGGGGCAGCAGUGGGGGAUAUUGGACAAUGGGGGAAACCCUGAUCCAGCGAUGCCGCGUGAGGGAAGAAGGUUUUCGGAUUGUAAACUUCUGUUCUUAGUGAAGAAGAAUGACGGUAGCUAAGGAGCAAGCCACGGCUAACUACGUGCCAGCAGCCGCGGUAAUACGUAGGUGGCAAGCGUUGUCCGGAAUUACUGGGUGUAAAGGGAGCGCAGGCGGGAAGCCAAGUCAGCUGUGAAAACUAUGGGCUUAACUUGUAGACUGCAGUUGAAACUGGUUUUCUUGAGUG
rnacentral:rRNA from 1 species